rnacentral:rRNA from 1 species
UACAGAGGGUGCAAACGUUGUUCGGAAUUACUGGGCGUAAAGCGUGUGUAGGCGGUCUUGUCAGUCGGGCGUGAAAGCCCCGGGCUCAACCCGGGAAGUGCACUCGAUACUGCAGGACUUGAGUUUCGGAGAGGUUGGUAGAAUUCUUGGUGUAGAGGUGAAAUUCGUAGAUAUCAAGAGGAAUACCGGUGGCGAAGGCGGCCAACUGGACGAAAACUGACGCUGAGACACGAAAGCAUGGGGAGCAAACAGGAUGAGAAACCCGAGGGUAGUCCAAG